GGAAUAUUGGACAAUGGGGGCAACCCUGAUCCAGCAAUGCCGCGUGAGUGAUGAAGGCCUUCGGGUUGUAAAGCUCUUUCGCCCACGACGAGGAUGACGGUAGUGGGAGAAGAAGCCCCGGCUAACUUCGUGCCAGCAGCCGGGGUAAUACGAAGGGGGCUAGCGUUGUUCGGAAUGGCUGGGCGUAAAGGGGGCGGAGGCGGCGCAUCAAGUCGGGCGUGAAAGCCCCGGGCUCAACCUGGGAACGGCGUCCGGGACUGAUGUGCUGGAGUUCGGGAGAGGAGAGUGGAAUUCCCAGUGUAGAGGUGAAAUUCGUAGAUAUUGGGAAGAACACCGAUGGCGAAGGCAGCUCUCUGGACCGACACUGACGCUGAGGCGCGAAAGCGUGGGGAGCAA
rnacentral:rRNA from 1 species